CUGAGGCGGCUGUGUCUCCUACUCUGCGAACCAUCUGGUUGUGCUGUCUAAGGAGGCCCCUGAGAAGGCCCACCUUCACCGCUUGUGUUUUCAUUUUCUCCUCUACACCAGGAGAAGUCUGCUGAGCCAUGGUCUGGAAGAUGUCAACCACAGAGGACUCCUGGGCUGUUCUAGGGAGUUGGGCUGUUGUCCUGAGGGCAAUGGAGAGCCACUGACCCAUUUGACGGAAGAGAAUGACCAGAGCAGAUUUGCACCUGUGGAAGAUCUCCCUGGCACAGUGGGGAGCACGGGCUAGAGGGGACAAGGCCAGGGGAUAAACCAGGAGUUGGCAUGAAGAUGAAGAGACAGACUGAGCUUGGCUAAGUGUUUUGCUGUAAGUCACACAGUUUGGAAGAUUUGGAAUUCUGGACAACUGGACUUGAAACCACCAUGAUGCCUCACUGCAUCCCCGACUUGGGAAAUCCGAGUCAUCAUUUGUAAUGAUCUUCUGCAUCAUUCAGAUGUCAUUCAGUACUCACUAAUGUGCUUUCUACACGGCUUUUCCGAAAUAGCUGGCAUCUGCAGCACUCUGGGCCGGAGACUUCCCGGGGGUGAAGAUGGUGUAGGCGCAUCCAGUGUGGACAGGAGGUGCCAGUUUAAAGGAUGACUGUUCAUGGCCACCUCACAAUCUGUGCACCCCCCUGGUGCCCAAGUAGCAGGGACAGGGCUGUGAACUUCCUGCAGGGACCAAACCCCACUAUUGGCAGCUGCUGGUCUUUGUGAUUGCUCCUAUGUCAGGCUUGGGGGACAGAAGACAUUUUUCUUUUGCUGAAACCUGAAGGGGAACAAAUCGUGUAAAACUUGGCAUCUAAAUCUUCCCUUUCCCUCUAAGGAAAACCUCUGCAAUCAUUCUGCAAAGUAUUCUCUCUCCUUUUGUCCUGUUUAAGAUUCGGGUGUUGACAACUUCCCUUUGGGAGACCAUAUUAGGGUCUCAGAUUUCACCAUCAAGGAAACCUCUAAGUAUUUUUGCAGAAAGCUCCUGAUUAGAUUGAUCUCGGCACCGCAGCCUUCCCCCAAUCCUGGGCUAAGCCACAGAGAGACUCUGCUUGCUGGGCAGCUGUUUGUGGGUAUCUUGCGGCGGUGUUUCUGCUUUCUUGCUCAACCACCCAGAUUUAGCUAUUAAAGUUCCCCUCAUAAAUCAGCCACGCCGCGUAUCUUCAUCAUCUCCUUCCAGUUUGUCUAUAAGCUCUCUGCCCUCCAAGAAAUAAAUUACCCGCAAUUACUCAAA
rnacentral:lncRNA from 1 species